rnacentral:rRNA from 1 species
UACAGAGGGGGCAAGCGUUGUUCGGAAUUACUGGGCGUAAAGGGCGCGUAGGCAGCCUUCUAAGUCGAACGUGAAAUCCCCGGGCUCAACCCGGGAACUGCGUCCGAUACUGGAAGGCUUGAAUCCGGGAGAGGGAUGUGGAAUUCCAGGUGUAGCGGUGAAAUGCGUAGAUAUCUGGAGGAACACCGGUGGCGAAGGCGACAUCCUGGACCGGUAUUGACGCUGAGGCGCGAAAGCCAGGGGAGCAAACGGG